GUGCUUGCUUCAGUAGCACAUAUACUAAAACUGGAACGAUGCAGAGAUUACCAAGGCCCCUGUGCAAGGAUGACAUGCAAAUUCACUAAGUGUUUCCUAUUUUU
ensembl:snRNA U6 U6 spliceosomal RNA